GAACCCCAACAAGAACUUAAAAUCCUAAGUAGAGAUUUCUUGUUAGAAGAUAUAAAGCCAAAGACUCAUACGGACUUCGGCUACACCAUGAAAGCAUUAAAAAGCAAGAACG
rnacentral:sRNA from 1 species